rnacentral:misc_RNA from 1 species
GAAGUCGCUCCCCUCUGCUGGCGAAGAUUUCGAAGCCUGACAGGUCAAAUUCGUAAGUGUUGUUCGGAAGCUGUAGCGCCAUAAUCGAACCGUGAACUGGCUGGUGCGCGAUCUUGCGCCUUACCGAUAAAAGCGACUGGAUAUUGUCGCGAAUCUUCGUCCAUCGCACGACAUCGGGGUGAUCUUUGCCCCCAUUCGGGCGCUCCCGUUUUGGAAGUACCGAUCUUAUUAUUUCGUCGGUCAAGCCGAG